UACCAUUAUUCAACAGCCAAACCAGAACUAGGUCUCUAACCAGCUGUCUCUGACAGGCUUAUCUGAAGACACAGCCAGGUUUGUCAUGUCUCAAAUGGCCAGAGGCUGCUCGUACCCAUUAAACCAUUCCUGAAUGUGGUUCCACAGCUCAACAGAAGUGGAUUGGGUGGGCUGCUGGUGCUUUCCAAACUUAGCUACCAAAGAUGCCCAUUUAAAUUGGGUCUGAAGAUAAUUCUUCCUUCAUUAUAGGCAGUUCAGGUUACGAGCAAGUCUCCAUCAUUUGCACAGAAGGAAAAUACCUGUAAGAUGUUACAGAUUUAGGAAGAUUUGACAAUGUUUCUUGUGUCUUUAUUUUAAAUCAGGCAGUUACAUUUUGAUAGUUUGUGACAGGGGACUGACAACAUCUAUAGAGAUAAACUGCCCCUAGAAACACCCUCGAAUUUCUCAUAUGAUAGCAGAUCAUCUUCAGCUUUUUAGGCAGAAAGACAUGUGCACCAGUGAGCUUCUCUAUUAAGUUGGUUAUUCAUCUUCUAUUAUUUUAGGAUCGAAGGCCCCCAGCCUUGUCACUGUGUAUGCCAUUGCAUCCUGAUGAGGGUCUAUGCAGGCAAAGGUUCAGGUGCUUUCAAACAGACAAUUCCAGAAUGGGGAGCUGUAUCCCCAUGGUGUGUCCAUCUCAUGCAAUGAAGGAGCAGAGCUAACACCAGCACAAAGAGAACUCGCAGAGGACAAGGAAAUAAGCAUCCCCAGGAUGAUGAUCACUGGAGAUGAAGUUGGGGUGGCAAAUGGGAAAUCUGGAUCCCUGCUGCCCUUUGUGGGCAGGGGCUGUCAGGCUCCAGGGCUGCUCUCAGGUUCCCUGGGACCCCUCAGCUGAUUUCUUAUGCCUUAUACAGGUCUUCUACAUGAGUUAUCAAAGCUUUUCUGUGUGAAAGGUUUCUGUGACUGGAAAACACUUUUAACUGAAUGGAAACAUUUGUGCAAAAGCUGUUUUUUAGUUCUCAUCGACUUGAAAAAUUGCUGUCCCAAACCCAUUUGGUUUUGAUUAAUACAAUCCUACAAAAUGGUAUUCAGUGGUUUUGAUGGGAAUCCAUAAAAUAUUAUUUUCUUUU